rnacentral:lncRNA from 1 species
AGAAACUAUUUCCUGGGCUAAGACUCCAAGUCCAGGGCUCUUGUCCCCAGAGGACCUGUCUCCUAGAGCCAGAAAGGAAUUCUACAGUGAACACAGGGUUAAAGUAAACUCUUGCAGCUGAAAGUCUGGAAUUCUGGCUAACAAUACCUAAAUAUCUUUAGUCAGCACCAAAGUGGAAAUUGUGCACUAAUUGGAGUUCAGUGAUGCAGAUAAUAUGGAAUGGAGUACACGGGCUGACAGAAAAUUCUCUCCAGCAGCUGAGCUACUUUCACUACAUUUCAGCCCUAACAACAGAACCCAAAACAAAAAAAGGUACAGAAUGUCUGCAAGUAAUCAAACACACCUGAAGACCCUUCGAGAGAUAGGAAAAUAUCAAGAUCCAGAGCACAGCUUCCGGAGCCAUUCUGCCUGGAAUCAGGUCAUCAUUCCACACCUGACCCAGGGCUUCUUGAUUCACCUAGCUUCACAAGAGCCAAGAGGUGUACAACUAUCUCGUUUCCAUUAUUGGGACCAUGGGGAUGCAUGUUUCUGACAGAUUUUGUCUAGAAAUCUUCUUUAGUAGGAGGGAGAGCAGACCAGCGUCCACUUGCAACAUGGCCUGAGCCCCUGAGCAUGAGGAAGAGGCCAGAGCAGAAGGGCCAUUUGUCUUUGUUAUUAGGAAAUAAAUCAACCUUUGUUUUCCUGGCCA